rnacentral:rRNA from 1 species
CAGUCGCCGCGGGAAUACGUAGGGUGCAAGCGUUAAUCGGAAUUACUGGGCGUAAAGCGUGCGCAGGCGGUUUGUUAAGACAGAUGUGAAAUCCCCGGGCUUAACCUGGGAACUGCAUUUGUGACUGGCAAGCUAGAGUCUGGCAGAGGGGGGUGGAAUUCCGCGUGUAGCAGUGAAAUGCGUAGAUAUGCGGAGGAACACCGAUGGCGAAGGCAGCCCCCUGGGCCAACACUGACGCUCAUGCACGGAAGCGUGGGGAGCAAACAGGAUUAGAUACCCCUGUAGUCCCUGUCUCUUAUAU